rnacentral:rRNA from 1 species
GAUGAACGCUGGCGGCGUGCCUAAUACAUGCAAGUCGAGCGAACAGACGAGGAGCUUGCUCCUCUGACGUUAGCGGCGGACGGGUGAGUAACACGUGGAUACCCUACCUAUAAGACUGGGAUAACUUCGGGAAACCGGAGCUAAUACCGGAUAAUAUAUUGAACCGCAUGGUUCAAUAGUGAAAGACGGUUUUGCUGUCACUUAUAGAUGGAUCCGCGCCAGAUUAGCUAGUUGGUCAGGUAACGGCUUACCAAGGCAACGAUGCGUAGCCGACCUGAGAGGGUGAUCGGCCACACUGGAACUGAGACACGGUCCAGACUCCUACGGGAGGCAGCAGUAGGGAAUCUUCCGCAAUGGGCGAAAGCCUGACGGAGCAACGCCGCGUGAGUGAUGAAGGUCUUCGGAUCGUAAAACUCUGUUAUUAGGGAAGAACAAAUGUGUAAGUAACUAUGCACGUCUUGACGGUACCGAAUCAGAAAGCCACGGCUAACUACGUG